rnacentral:rRNA from 1 species
UACGUAGGGUGCGAGCGUUAAUCGGAAUUACUGGGCGUAAAGCGUGCGCAGGCGGUUUUGUAAGCCAGAUGUGAAAUCCCCGGGCUUAACCUGGGAAUGGCAUUUGGGACUGCAAGGCUCGAGUGCGGCAGAGGAGACUGGAAUUCCUGGUGUAGCAGUGAAAUGCGUAGAUAUCAGGAGGAACACCGAUGGCGAUGGCAGGUCUCUGGGCUGACACUGACGCUCAUGCACGAAAGCGUGGGGAGCAAACAGG